rnacentral:rRNA from 1 species
CUUGGUAACUGAAUUUGAUUGUGUUUAAAAUAUAUUAGCCCAAUCCUGUCUGAUCUCGGAAGCUAAGCAGGGUCGGGCCUGGUUAGUACUUGGAUGGGAGACCACCUAGGAGACCAGGUGCUGUAGAGA